CUUUUGUGAUUACAUCUAGUGUCUCCUAGCAACUUUGUGCUUCCUAUCCUUAUGCCUCUGGGUUCUAUUUCUACUUGGAGAUACAAUAGUUGUUCUCGUGAAUUGGAAUCAAUCAGUGCUACCUCGUGCUUUGAAAUUCUUCAUGUCCCUAGGAUGCUGCCACCAAAGAGACUGUAUUUCAUCUGGGCUUGAUGAUUGACAAUCUGUGUCCAGGCAAGAACGAGUUGCCCUCACUUUUCUUUUUUCAUUGUGUCUUUCCCAGGCACACUCACACAGAGGGAAAGAGACUAUUAACCCCACAUCCCCAUCACCUCCACCACCAGGGACUUUCUCCCCACCCCCAUUUCAUUGGCAUAUUGCAUGGGGAUGACCCAGAAAGAUGUUAUGGGGAGGGAGGUGGGAGGGGGGUUCAUGUUUGGGAAUGCAUGUAAGAAUUAAAGAUUUUAAAAUUUAAAAAAUAA
ensembl:lncRNA